rnacentral:rRNA from 1 species
GACGAACGCUGGCGGCGUGCUUAACACAUGCAAGUCGAACGGCAAGGCCCUGCUUUUGUGGGGUGCUCGAGUGGCGAACGGGUGAGUAACACGUGAGUAACCUGCCCCUGACUUUGGGAUAACUUCAGGAAACUGGGGCUAAUACCGGCUAGGAGCUCCUGCUGCAUGGUGGGGGUUGGACCGUUUCGGCGGUUGGGGAUGGACUCGCGGCUUAUCAGCUUGUUGGUGGGGCAGUGGCUUACCAAGGCUUUGACGGGUAGCCGGCCUGAGAGGGUGACCGGGCACAUUGGGACUGAGAUACGGCCCAGACUCCUACGGGAGGCAGCAGUGGGGAAUAUUGCACAAUGGGCGGAAGCCUGAUGCAGCAACGCCGCGUGCGGGAUGACGGCCUUCGGGUUGUAAACCGCUUUCGCCUGUGACGAAGGGUGAGUGACGGUAAUGGGUAAAUAAGCACCGGCUAAGUACGUG